GUCUCCAUAGCUCAGUGGUUUAGAGCGGCCGCCUGCAGUUCACAUGUACAGCGGCAGGUCACGUGUUCAAAUCACGUUGGGGACU
rnacentral:tRNA from 1 species